rnacentral:rRNA from 1 species
AUUGAACGCUGGCGGCAGGCCUAACACAUGCAAGUCGAGUGGAGCGGCGGACGGGCGAGUAAUGCCUAGGAAUCUGCCUGGUAGUGGGGGAUAACGUCCGUCUACGGGCGCUAAUACCGCAUACUAUCAGAUGAGCCUAGGGCGGAUUAGUUAGUUGGUGGGGUAAAGGCCUACCAAGGCGACGAUCCGUAACUGGUCUGAGAGGAUGGUCAGUCAAACUGGAACUGGGACAGUGUCCAGACUCCUACGGGAGGCAGCAGUGGGGGAUAUUGGACAAUGGGAGAAAGGCUGAUCCAGCCAAGCCGCGUGUGUGAAGAGGGUCUUCGGAUUGUAAAGCACUUUAAGUUGGGAGGCGGUAGCAACAGAAUAAGCACCGGCUAACUGCGUGCCAGCAGCCGCGGUAAUUC